CCCGUGGACUGUAGCCUGCCAGGCUCCUCUGUCCCAAGAACCACACAAAGCCUUUGGCCUUUGUCUCCAGUCCUCUUUUCCUUUCUCUUUGAAAACUCAGUCGGGUUUCACCUCCACUGAGACUGACUUUCCUCCUCCCUCUGUAUACUCCAGGUCACGCUUGGGGACACAUGAAGGAUAUGACACCCCCCCACACUUGUCAGCUUCUGAUCACACACCGAGCUGGAUGAUGAAGACAGCUGUCCAGCACACUGGAGGGGUGGUGUGUUCCAGCCUGCGUAUGUUGGGCAGCCACCUGGAGAACCUGUUUGUUCACUCUCAGGAGGGAGCCAGAAAGAGCCGGUACAAGACUGCCCCCUCCUCUGCCAUACUGGCUCCCUGCUGCAGAGACCAGGAAGGCCCCACCCUCUGCAGAAAACCACAGCACCAGUGGUGAUGCCAUGUAUGAAGCUGAAUCACUGAAGUUCCACCAGCUGUCAGGCUGCACUGCUCCUGCUGCAGCUCAGAAAUUUUACAUUCGAUGCAAGUAUUGGAGGAUUUGAGCAUGGUAUCUCAAGCAGUUGCACCUAAACAUUUACUAUUAAAAUA
ensembl:lncRNA